rnacentral:rRNA from 1 species
AAUGAACGUUGGCGGCGUGGAUUAGGCAUGCAAGUCGAGCGAGAAGUUCCCUUCGGGGACGGACAUCGGCGAACGGGAGAGUAACGCGUGGAGUACCUACCCUUGGACCCGGGAUAGCCGUGGGAAACUGCGGGUAAUACCGGAUAACGUCUCCGUACCAAAGGUGUGAUUCCGUCUGAGGAUGGCUCCGCGUCCUAUUAGCUUGUUGGUGAGGUAACGGCUCACCAAGGCGACGAUGGGUACCGGGUGUGAGAGCAUGACCCGGCUCACUGGGACUGAGACACUGCCCAGACUCCUACGGAGGCUG